rnacentral:rRNA from 1 species
UACAGAGGUGGCAAGCGUUGUUCGGAAUUACUGGGCGUAAAGGGCGCGUAGGCGGCCAUCUAAGUCAGACGUGAAAUCCCCCGGCUUAACCUGGGAACUGCGUCUGAUACUGGAAGGCUUGAGUAUGGGAGAGGGAUGUAGAAUUCCAGGUGUAGCGGUGAAAUGCGUAGAUAUCAGGAGGAACACCCGUAGCGAAGGCGGCACUCUGGGCCGAUACUGACACUGAGGAGCGAAAGCGUGGGGAGCGAACAGG